UGGAAUUCUUCAGGGGUAAAAGGUUUUGAGCUUGGAAUUCUUCAGGGGUAAAGGAUUUUGAGCUUGGAAUUUUGGAAUUCUUCAGGGGUAAAAGGUUUUGAGCUUGGAAUUCUUCAGGAGUAAAGGAUUUUGAGCUUGGAAUUUUGGAAUUCUUCAGGGGUAAAAGGUUUUGAGCUUGGAAUUCUUCAGGGGUAAAGGGUUUUGAGCUUGGAAUUUUGGAAUUCUUCAGGGGUAAAAGGUUUUGAGCUUGGAAUUCUUCAGGGGUAAAGAGAUUUGAGCUUGGAAUUUUGGAAUUCUUCAGGGGUAAACAGUUUUGAGCUUGGAAUUCUUCAGGGGUAUGACAAUGAAAAACAUGUAUCCUCGACAGGGGGGGUACGGAUAUUAAAUGGAAUAGCCCAAUUAAGUGCCCAUCGAUAUUAUUUAGACCGUGUAUUCAUUAUACAUUGUCAUUGACUGUAUAAGGUGCUACAUCACAGAAUAGAUGGCUACGCUCAGUACAAAGAGCGAAACAACUAUUAAACAGAAGCGGGUAAACGUUUGUACGGCGUUUACGAAGAAAAUAACUUGCGAGACUAAAGAAAUCAGUUGAGUCAGAGCUCCUUAUUUAAAUAAGAAAGACGAGGAGAUAGCCAAUGCGUUAUCGCCAACGUGUUAUCGCCAAUCGCUUGGCUCGCCAACAAGCUUUAUGCAAUAGAAAAAAAAAGCAAGGAGGUACAUGUAGCCAACGUGUACCGUCACGGGCCUUGUCUUUGUUUACUGUCUAGCACAACGCCGUUGUCAAUGGUGCAAACCGCUCUUGUUCAGUGCAACGAUAACUCUACCAGAUCUUACGAGAAUCAAUCUGUAGUAUUCUGUACACAGAACUGUUCUAAGCUUGUCAAAACUGCUUUAUUAAACACUGCUUAACUGUGAAACUAUUGAAAUCUAAACUCUAAAGUGAUAUUAUUCAACACAUGCGAAAAGCUGAAAAUAGACGUGACACUGGGAAAAGUCAAAGGUCAAUGAGACUUGUUAUUGUGAAGCGUGUCACAAUUAGGUUAAAAUGCGGGAGCGGAUCCACGGAACGGAUAUGUGGAUAAAAUACGGAACGGAUGAGGAUAAAAUGCGUCCUUUUAAUGAUGUAACGAUGUAGUGCUUAUUAUUCAUAACAUAUCUUACACAGCUAUUUCAAUUAUAGUUUUAGAUAAAUUUAGCAUAGCAGUAGCCUCGUGGGGAGCUUUUAGCGACAGCUGCAAAUGCAAAUGAAAAUUUAGAAUAUGCAAAAUUUGGUUGUUGG